rnacentral:rRNA from 1 species
UGCGCAGGCGGUUAUAUAAGACAGAUGUGAAAUCCCCGGGCUCAACCUGGGAACUGCAUUUGUGACUGUAUAGCUAGAGUACGGCAGAGGGGGAUGGAAUUCCGCGUGUAGCAGUGAAAUGCGUAGAUAUGCGGAGGAACACCGAUGGCGAAGGCAAUCCCCUGGGCCUGUACUGACGCUCAUGACGAAAGCGUGGGGGAGCGAGACA